UUGGGUUGUAAACCCCUUUUCUCAGGGAAGAGAAAGUGACGGUACCUGAGGAAUCAGCCUCGGCUAACUUCGUGCCAGCAGCCGCGGUAAUACGGAGGAGGCAAGCGUUAUCCGGAAUGAUUGGGCGUAAAGCGUCUGUAGGUGGCUAUUCAAGUCUGCUGUCAAAGCCUGAGGCUCAACCUCAGAUCGGCAGUGGAAACUGGGUAGCUUGAGUGCGGUAGGGGCAGAGGGAAUUCCCGGUGUAGCGGUGAAAUGCGUAGAGAUCGGGAAGAACACCGGUGGCGAAAGCGCUCUGCUGGGCCGCAACUGACACUGAGGGACGAAAGCUAGGGGAGCGAAUGGGAUUAGAUACCCCAGUAGUCCUAGCCGUAAACGAUGGAAACUAGGUGUUGCCUGUAUCGACCCGGGCAGUGCCGUAGCUAACGCGUUAAGUUUCCCGCCUGGGGAGUACGCACGCAAGUGUGAAACUCAAAGGAAUUGACGGGGGCCCGCACAAGCGGUGGAGUAUGUGGUUUAAUUCGAUGCAACGCGAAGAACCUUACCAGGGCUUGACAUGUCCGGAAGCCUGGGGAAACCCGGGUGUGCCUUCGGGAACCGGAACACAGGUGGUGCAUGGCUGUCGUCAGCUCGUGUCGUGAGAUGUUGGGUUAAGUCCCGCAACGAGCGCAACCCUCGUUCUUAGUUGCCAGCAUUAAGUUGGGCACUCUAGGGAGACUGCCGGUGACAAACCGGAGGAAGGUGGGGAUGACGUCAAGUCAUCAUGCCCCUUACGUCCUGGGCUACACACGUACUACAAUGGGGAGGACAGAGGGCAGCCACUUCGCGAGAAGGAGCUAAUCCCGAAAACCUUUCCUCAGUUCAGAUUGCAGGCUGCAACUCGCCUGCAUGAAGGAGGAAUCGCUAGUAAUCGCAGGUCAGCAUAUUGCGGUGAAUCCGUUCCCGGGCCUUGUACACACCGCCCGUCACACCAUGGAAGUUAGCCCGGCCNGAAGUCAUUACUC
rnacentral:rRNA from 2 species